rnacentral:rRNA from 1 species
GACGAACGCUGGCGGCGUGCUUAACACAUGCAAGUCGAACGGAAAGGCCCUGCUUUUGUGGGGUGCUCGAGUGGCGAACGGGUGAGUUACACGUGAGUAACCUGCCAUUGACUUUGGGAUAACCUAAGGACACAGGGGGUAAUACCUGCUAGGAGCUCUUGCUGCAUGGUGAGGGUUGGAAAGAUUAGCCUGUUGGGGGGGGAAUCGCGGAUUAUCAGGUUGUUGGUGUGGUAGUGGGUUACGAAGGCUUUGACGGGUGGCCUGCCUGCGCGGGUGACAGGACACAUUGCGAUGGCGAUACGGCCCGGACUCCUACGGGAGGCAGCAGUGCGGAAUAUUGCACAAUGGGCGGAAGCCUGAUCCAGCAACGCCGCGUCGGGGAUGACGGCAUGCGGGUUGUAAACCGCUUUCGCCUGUGACGAAGCGUGAGUGACGGUAAUGGGUAAAGAAGCACCGGCUAACUACGUG